GACGAACGCUGGCGGCGUGCUUAACACAUGCAAGUCGAGCGGUAAGGCUCCUUCGGGAGUACACGAGCGGCGAACGGGUGAGUAACACGUGAGCAAUCUGCCCUUCACACAGGGAUAACUCCGGGAAACCGAAGCUAAUACCUGAUACGACCACUUCAGGCAUCUGAUGGUGGUGGAAAGUUCCGGCGGUGAAGGAUGAGCUCGCGGCCUAUCAGCUUGNGGUGGGGUAAUGGCCCACCAAGGCAACGACGGGUAGCCGGCCUGAGAGGAUGGCCAGCCACAUUGGGACUGAGACACAGCCCAGACUCCUACGGGAGGCAGCAGUGGGGAAUAUUGCGCAAUGGACGAAAGUCUGACGCAGCGACGCCGCGUGUGGGAUGACGGUCUUCGGAUUGUAAACCACUGUCGGGAGGGACGAAUACGCCGC
rnacentral:rRNA from 1 species